rnacentral:rRNA from 1 species
UUGAACGCUGGCGGCAUGCCUUACACAUGCAAGUCGAACGGCAGCAUGAUCUAGCUUGCUAGAUUGAUGGCGAGUGGCGAACGGGUGAGUAAUACAUCGGAACGUGCCCUGUAGUGGGGGAUAACUAGUCGAAAGAUUAGCUAAUACCGCAUACGACCUGAGGGUGAAAGUGGGGGACCGCAAGGCCUCAUGCUAUAGGAGCGGCCGAUGUCUGAUUAGCUAGUUGGUGAGGUAAAGGCUCACCAAGGCGACGAUCAGUAGCUGGUCUGAGAGGACGAUCAGCCACACUGGGACUGAGACACGGCCCAGACUCCUACGGGAGGCAGCAGUGGGGAAUUUUGGACAAUGGGGGCAACCCUGAUCCAGCAAUGCCGCGUGUGUGAAGAAGGCCUUCGGGUUGUAAAGCACUUUUGUCCGGAAAGAAAUCGCACUUACUAAUAUUAGGUGUGGAUGACGGUACCGGAAGAAUAAGGACCGGCUAACUACGUGCCAGCAGCCGCGGUAAUACGUAGGGUCCAAGCGUUAAUCGGAAUUACUGGGCGUAAAGCGUGCGCAGGCGGUUGUGCAAGACCGAUGUGAAAUCCCCGGGCUUAACCUGGGAAUUGCAUUGGUGACUGCACGGCUAGAGUGUGUCAGAGGGGGGUAGAAUUCCACGUGUAGCAGUGAAAUGCGUAGAGAUGUGGAGGAAUACCGAUGGCGAAGGCAGCCCCCUGGGAUAACACUGACGCUCAUGCACGAAAGCGUGGGGAGCAAACAGGAUUAGAUACCCUGGUAGUCCACGCCCUAAACGAUGUCAACUAGUUGUUGGGGAUUCAUUUCCUUAGUAACGUAGCUAACGCGUGAAGUUGACCGCCUGGGGAGUACGGUCGCAAGAUUAAAACUCAAAGGAAUUGACGGGGACCCGCACAAGCGGUGGAUGAUGUGGAUUAAUUCGAUGCAACGCGAAAAACCUUACCUACCCUUGACAUGCCACUAACGAAGCAGAGAUGCAUUAGGUGCUCGAAAGAGAAAGUGGACACAGGUGCUGCAUGGCUGUCGUCAGCCCGUGUCGUGAGAUGUUGGGUUAAGUCCCGCAACGAGCGCAACCCUUGUCUCUAGUUGCUACGAAAGGGCACUCUAGAGAGACUGCCGGUGACAAACCGGAGGAAGGUGGGGAUGACGUCAAGUCCUCAUGGCCCUUAUGGGUAGGGCUUCACACGUCAUACAAUGGUGCAUACAGAGGGUUGCCAAGCCGCGAGGUGGAGCUAAUCCCAGAAAAUGCAUCGUAGUCCGGAUCGUAGUCUGCAACUCGACUACGUGAAGCUGGAAUCGCUAGUAAUCGCGGAUCAGCAUGCCGCGGUGAAUACGUUCCCGGGUCUUGUACUCACCGCC